rnacentral:rRNA from 1 species
AUUGAACGCUGGCGGCAUGCCUUACACAUGCAAGUCGAACGGCAGCACGGGUGCUUGCACCUGGUGGCGAGUGGCGAACGGGUGAGUAAUACAUCGGAACAUGUCCUGUAGUGGGGGAUAGCCCGGCGAAAGCCGGAUUAAUACCGCAUACGAUCUACGGCUGAAAGCGGGGGACCUUCGGGCCUCGCGCUAUCGGGUUGGCCGAUGGCUGAUUAGCUAGUUGGUGGGGUAAAGGCCUACCAAGGCGACGGUCAGUAGCUGGUCUGAGAGGACGACCAGCCACACUGGGACUGAGACACGGCCCAGACUCCUACGGGAGGCAGCAGUGGGGAAUUUUGGACAAUGGGCGAAAGCCUGAUCCAGCAAUGCCGCGUGUGUGAAGAAGGCCUUCGGGUUGUAAAGCACUUUUGUCCGGAAAGAAAUCCUUGGCCCUAAUACGGUCGGGGGAUGACGGUACCGGAAGAAUAAGCACCGGCUAACUACGUG